rnacentral:tRNA from 1 species
GCCGCGGUGGCGGAAUUGGAAUACGCGUACGACUCAAAAUCGUAUGAGCUUAUGCUCUUGAGGGUUCAACUCCCUCCCGCGGCACAA